rnacentral:tRNA from 1 species
GCCAGGAUGGUAUAGUGGUUUGAAUGUUGGACUAGGACUCUGGAGACCAGGGUUCAAAUCCCCCACUCAGCU